CCUACGGGUGGCAGCAGUGAGGAAUAUUGGUCAAUGGACGAGAGUCUGAACCAGCCAAGUAGCGUGAAGGAUGACUGCCCUAUGGGUUGUAAACUUCUUUUAUAAAGGAAUAAAACGAGGCACGUGUGCCUCUUUGCAUGUACUUUAUGAAUAAGGAUCGGCUAACUCCGUGCCAGCAGCCGCGGGAAUACGGAGGAUACGAGCGUUAUCCGGAUUGAUUGGGUUUAAAGGGAGCGUAGAUGGGUUGUUAAGUCAGUUGUGAAAGUUUGCGGCUCAACCGUAAAAUUGCAAUUGAUCCUGGCAGUCUUGAGUACAGUUGAGGUAGGCGGAAUUCGUGGUGUAGCGGUGAAAUGCUUAGAUAUCACGAAGAACCCCGAUUGCGAAGGCAGCUUACUAAACUGUGACUGACAUUGAUGCUCGAAAGUGUGGGUAUCAAACAGGAUUAGAUACCCCAGUAGUC
rnacentral:rRNA from 1 species